UCUGGUCUUGGGACACUGUCAGGUGGGCAGUUUGACUGGGGCGGUCGCCUCCCAAAAGGUAACGGAGGCGCUCAAAGGUUCUCUCAGUACGGUCGGAAAUCGUACGUAGAGUGUAAAGGCAAAAGAGAGCUUGAUUGCAAGACAUACAGGUCGAGCAAGGAUGAAAAUCGGACUUAGUGAUCCGGUGGUUCUGCGUGGAAGGGCCAUCGCUCAACGGAUAAAAGCUACCCUGGGGAUAACAGGCUUAUCUCCCCCAAGAGUCCACAUCGACGGGGAGGUUUGGCACCUCGAUGUCGGCUCAUCACAUCCUGGGGCUGUAGUAGGUCCCAAGGGUUGGGCUGUUCGCCCAUUAAAGUGGUACGCGAGCUGGGUUCAGAACGUCGUGAGACAGUUCGGUCCCUAUCCGUCGCAGGCGUAGGAAAUUUGAGAAGACCUGUCCUUAGUACGAGAGGACCGGGAUGGACGUACCUCUGGUGUACCAGUUGUUCUGCCAAGGGCAUGGCUGGGUAGCUAUGUACGGAAUGGAUAAGCGCUGAAAGCAUCUAAGCGCGAAGCCAACUUCAAGCUAAGAUUUCCCACCGCAAGGGUAAGACCCCAGAAAGACUAUCUGGUUGAUAGGUCGAAGGUGUAAGUGCAGCAAUGUAUUUAGCUUAUCGAUACUAAUAGGUCGAGGACUUGACCAAUAUU
rnacentral:rRNA from 1 species